rnacentral:misc_RNA from 1 species
UAAUCAAGUGUUUUAUGGCACUUUUCAAAAUCCAUAUCCACCUUGUGUGCAAUGUCAGCUCGAUCUUAGGUCACGGCUGAUAGACAAAUCCUUGUCAACCUUUGAUUAUAUCUACUCAACUUAUUUUGUCUGAAACAUAUUAUGAAUAACUUAAUUCAAAAUA